AAACAUUGCCAGUGUUGAUUAGGGAAUCCACUCAUUAAUAAAAGAAGAAACCAUCCACAAUAUUGAAUGCAGAAAGUAUGCAGAGAGUAUUUUCAGAAGCAGAAAAAUGAGGCAUUGCCUAUGUAUUUAUAGCCACGGUGUGAUGGGAACAAAUCAUACACGACACUGACUCAGUUUUUGUGUUGUAAAAAUAUGCAGAAUGCAGAAAGUAUGCAGAGAGUAUUUUCAGAAGCAGAAAAAUGAGGCAUUGCCUAUGUAUUUAUAGCCACGGUGUGGUGUCUGUUCGGUAACGCCAUGCCUUUUCCGAAAAUAAAAAUGUCUGUUAGGAAUUA